rnacentral:rRNA from 1 species
UGGGGAAUAUUGGGCAAUGGGCGAAAGCCUGACCCAGCAACGCCGCGUGAGGGAAGAAGGGUUUCGGCUCGUAAACCUCUGUCCUAUGGGACGAAGGAAGUGACGGUACCAUAGGAGGAAGCCCCGGCUAACUACGUGCCAGCAGCCGCGGUAAUACGUAGGGGGCGAGCGUUGUCCGGAAUGAUUGGGCGUAAAGGGCGCGUAGGCGGCCUGUUAAGUCCGGAGUGAAAGUCCUGCUUUCAAGGUGGGAAUUGCUUUGGAUACUGAUGGGCUGGAGUGCAGGAGAGGAAAGCGGAAUUACCGGUGUAGCGGUGAAAUGCGUAGAGAUCGGUAGGAACACCAGUGGCGAAGGCGGCUUUCUGGACUGAAACUGACGCUGAGGCGCGAAAGCGUGGGGAGCAAACAGGAUUAGAUACC